GCGGAAAUCAGAUUCUUCACUUUCCCAACUAUUUGUUCCCUUCCACCAAACGGAGACCCCAUUGCUCGUCCCUGUCUCUCACUCUCCAACGAUCUGCGAUGUCUAACCCUCGGUUCGAUCUCAGGAGGAAAAUUCAGAAGGAAUUUUGUUCAUCGGAAUUGUCAAGUUGAGCAUGUCUCAGCUUAAAUCCAGAAACUAUGGUGUCUGAUUCCACAAAGCAACAGAUAAUAGAUACAGGGAAAAAGUUUCAUAACUUGGAAGUUUUUUGCUUGCAAUCUCAUGGGUGAAAGGUCAACAAUUUAGGAUACGGAAAAGAGGUGGCGGAUGAUGAUCCACCACAAGUUUAGAUGGGAUUGAAGAUGUAUUUUAAUUUGCUAUCUUUUGUAUUAGAAUUCUAAUAUUUUGUAAAUGUAAUCUUAACUAUUUUGUGAAACUUUAGUUUAACUGGUAUAAUGUUGUAAGUUAUGGACUUUUAAAUUUUAGCUACAAUUAUGGACUGUAACUUGAUGUAACUAAGGUGUGUUCCUUGUUUAGAUGAGAUGGAGGAACGAGACUUUUUAUAUGAAUGUAAUUAUUUUGGGAAUGUGUGCAU